rnacentral:snoRNA from 1 species
CUGCAGCCAAUUAAGCCGACUGAGUUCCUUUCCUCAUGGGGGCCCAGUGUGCAAUGGCUGCAAACAGCAGCUUCCCUGGUAGUGAUGCAGCCUGUUUGUUGUAUGGGUUGCUCUGAAGGAUCUUGGAGACAGUC